GCAGCCAAAGCCAAACCUGUCGCGAGGCAGGGACGGAAAGCCACGGGUCUUGCACUGAUCAAGAUAGCCGGGUUGCCUGGU
rnacentral:ncRNA from 1 species